rnacentral:rRNA from 1 species
GACGAAGGGGGCUAGCGUUGUUCGGAAUUACUGGGCGUAAAGCGAGUGUAGGUGGUUGUCGGAGUCAGGCGUGAAAGCCUUGAGCUCAACUCAAGAAAUGCGGUUGAUACUGGGCAGCUAGAGGACCGGAGAGGAUAGUGGAAUUCCCAGUGUAGUGGUGAAAUACGUAGAGAUUGGGAAGAACACCAGUGGCGAAGGCGGCUAUCUGGACGGUUUCUGACGCUGAGGCUCGAAAGCGUGGGGAGCAAACAGG